GAUGAACGCUAGCGGGAGGCCUAACACAUGCCAGCCGAGCGGUAGAGAUUCUUCGGAAUCUUGAGAGCGGCGUACGGGUGCGGAACACGUGUGCAACCUGCCUUUAUCAGGGGGAUAGCCUUUCGAAAGGAAGAUUAAUACCCCAUAAUAUAUUUGAUGGCAUCAUUAGAUAUUGAAAGCUUUGGCGGAUAGAGAUGGGCACGCGCAAGAUUAGAUAGUUGGUGAGGUAACGGCUCACCAAGUCGAUGAUCUUUAGGGGGCCUGAGAGGGUGAUCCCCCACACUGGUACUGAGACACGGACCAGACUCCUACGGGAGGCAGCAGUGAGGAAUAUUGGACAAUGGGUUAGCGCCUGAUCCAGCCAUCCCGCGUGAAGGACGACGGCCCUAUGGGUUGUAAACUUCUUUUGUACAGGGAUAAACCUACUCUCGUGAGAGUAGCUGAAGGUACUGUACGAAUAAGCACCGGCUAACUCCGUG
rnacentral:rRNA from 1 species